rnacentral:rRNA from 1 species
CUACAUGAAGCUGGAAUUGCUAGUAAUGGCAGGUCAGCAUACUGCCGUGAAUACGUUCCCGGGCCCUUGUACACACCGCCCGUCACACCAUGAGAGUUGGGGAUACCCGAAGCCUGUGAGCCAACUGUAAAGAGGCAGCAGUCGAAGGUAGAAUCAAUGAUUGGGGUGAAGUCGUAACAAGGUACC